GCCCGGAUGGUUUAGGGGUAUAAUUCUCGCUUUGGGUUGCGAUAAAUGCUUGUUCUGAGUUCAUCGAAGUGCAUGCAUCCGUCCUGUAUAAGGCCUAAUUGCGAGAGGUCCUGGGUUCGAUUCCCAGUUCGGGCC
rnacentral:tRNA from 1 species